GGUUGGUCUGAAGUUAGUGAGUUACCUCAAUUGAUUGUUUACAGUGAGUUGUAGGUCAGACUCCUUCUUCUAACUGUUUUCCCCUUCUCAUUAAUACACUUGACUAGUCUUUU
rnacentral:Y_RNA from 1 species